rnacentral:lncRNA from 1 species
AUCUUUUUUUUAUAUAUAUAUAUAUAGAAUUUGUUAUCAAAUAAAUGCAAUUGUUAAACGAUAAUCCCAUCUAAAAACUAAAUCUUUCUGCAGCAAUUUUUAGUUUUUUGCGUAGGAAGAAAAACAUUUGUUGCUCCAUUUUUAUCAAUCGAUGUUUGGCAUAAUCCAUUAAAGAAUGCAAUCUAGUUAGUUAUCUGAUUGGAAUUAGAUCAGUUAAAAAAAAAAGAAGAGUUACAGUAUUCCAUGCCUGCUAACAAACGGUUAUUGUUUCCAGAUCGAUACUUCUCUCGUUGGAAACAACGAAGUUUAAUUAAUAAAUUUAUAUUCGCCCUCAUUUUUUUUGAAAAUUCUUCCUGUAAUUGACUUCCAAAAAUUCGCGUUUACCUUUUUAAAAUGCUGUGCACAGCAUAUUUACAAAGGUGAAUUAUUUAUGAGUUGUAACCCCGAAUUUUUUUUUUUUUUAACGUUACAAAUAAUAUGGAUUCGGUAUUUAAAAGCGCUUUUAACGUUACAAGAACGAAACCGCUCGUGUUUACUUUAGACCCCACACGCUUUAGUUAUAAAUUUUUUUAUUUUUUUUAUCGAGUUUUAAAACUUCACACGCAAAAUGCCAAACUCCAUUACAACGUUUCGAAAAUUUUCGAGUUUCCGAGCGUGUUGCAAAGAGAACUCGUUCAAUUCCGUUGAUCGUUUAUCUAAAUGGCUUUAUUCGAACUUCGAACAGGAAAGUGAGGAAGUUAUCGCGAAUUACGCCAUUGUUUUAAAAUAAUUAACUUGUUAAAUUGUUGUCGUUUGCGCCAUUGAAAGCGUUAUUGUACCAGCAAAAGUUCUUACAUACACGUCUACAGAAAAUACUGUGUAUAUAUAUGCAUGAGGCAUAUUUUUUCGUGAAGAAAUUGUAGGUGGAGAAUUGGCAAAACUUCGAAUUCCGAACACGUGGCUUUCCUCGAUUAUUAGAUAGAUAUUUUUGCUAUAUAGAGUGACCUUUACAACUAGGAAUAGCGUUUAUGAAUAUGGAUGGAGGCGAUAAAUUGAUGUAAUUAAUUAGAGUUAAUGGAAUGAAGAUUGCACGUCGUAUGCUGUUAAAAUUUGCGAAGGUUUUGCUCGUCACGUUGAUUUAUGAGAUUGAGAAGCUGCGUACGGUAUUUAUUUUCGUACUCUGCAUUUAUUUACUUGGCUAAUUUUAAUUCAAAUAUAGUAAUUUUUCGCGAAUAUCGUACACCGUCUUCGACUGUUUACGUAUCAUUACUAUAAAAGUACGAUAAGUGACGAGUAACGCAAUUAAAUCGAAAAAAAAAAAACAAAACAAAAAAGUUAUAAUUUACUAUCAUCCG